GCCCCCGCCACGCCACGCCCCCGCCACGCCUCCUCGGGGUGAAACCCGAGCACGGCCCUGCAGGACCUCCCCGUCCCCUCCCCGACCCCGUCCCUUCCCGGGAUGGGUUCCCCCCUGGAACCUCCGGGACCCCCGGGACCCCCAGAUCCCCUGAGCCCCGCCGCCUCCUGAGUGCAGGCUCGCGGCCAGAGCGUGCACUUUCCGGGGCCCCUUGCCGCCUGGCGGGGACUCCCGGCUCCCCACCCGCUGUCCCGCGCUCUACGUGGCUCCGGGGGCGGGAGGGGUGCGCUAUAAAGAGCCGAGGCGCCGGGCCCAGACCCGAGACGUGGCGUCGCCCGGGCAGCCCUGGAGCCAGUGCUUGCGUCUCAGCCCCGUGGCUCUGUGGCUUCCCUGGACCGGAGCAGUGGGGAGGGGCUGACAAGAAUGUCACCUAGGACAGACGGAGAUGCCAGUGUGCAGCACGGGUGGCCUUCCAGGAGGCCUUGGUGUGGGUGGGCUCUAAGAUGUAAUAUGAUUGUAUUAAAAUUAUGAAAACUCUCAGCCUCUUGACAUUUACAUGUUACGCGGAUUUCCCUACAAAUGAGCUAGGCGCUCCUUCCAGGCUCCACCCAUGAGCUUCUUUUUUUGCCCUCUGGUUUCUUUUAAAUCCACGACAUUUAAGAAGUGAAGGAAAGAGCGAGAUGGUCUGAAUGAUCCUGUCGGUUUUUUGUUCUUAUUGUGAUUAAACCUUGGCACAAAGAUGUGACGUUUGAUGUUUCAGUAAGAAUGUCCAGAACUGAU
rnacentral:lncRNA from 1 species